AGGACGAACGCUGGCGGCGUGCUUAACACAUGCAAGUCGAGCGGUAAGGCUCCUUCGGGAGUACACGAGCGGCGAACGGGUGAGUAACACGUGGGCAACCUGCCCCUAGCACUGGGAUAACUCCGGGAAACCGGGGCUAAUACCGGAUACGACCUCUGAGGGCAUCCUCCGGAGGUGGAAAGCAUUGUGGCUAGGGAUGGGCCCGCGGCCUAUCAGCUUGUUGGUGAGGUAACGGCCCACCAAGGCGACGACGGGUAGCCGGCCUGAGAGGGCGACCGGCCACACUGGGACUGAGACACGGCCCAGACUCCUACGGGAGGCAGCAGUGGGGAAUAUUGCACAAUGGGCGAAAGCCUGAUGCAGCGACGCCGCGUGAGGGAUGACUGCCUUCGGGUUGUAAACCUCUUUCGGCAGGGACGAAGCGAAAGUGACGGUACCUGCAGAAGAAGCACCGGCAACUACGUGCCAGCAGCCGC
rnacentral:rRNA from 1 species